rnacentral:rRNA from 1 species
GAUAGGUUAAGUUAAUAAGGGCGCAUGGUGGAUGCCUUGGCACUAGAAGGCGAUGAAGGACGUGACUAACUACGAUAUGCCUCGGUUAGCUGUAAGUAAGCUUACCCGGGGGUUUCCGAAUGGGGCAACCCGAUCUUAAUGAUCAUCAUCUUUUUGAAUUCAUAGAUUAGAUGAAGCAAACGCUGUGAACUGAAACAUCUAAGUAGCAGUAGGAAAGUAAAGAAAUUUCGAUUCCGUCAGUAGCGGCGAGCGAACGCGGAAGAGCCCAAACCUGGAUGCUUGCAUCCAGGGGUUGUAGGACUGAUGUUGAGUUACAAAGGUAUAAGAUAGCAGAAACAGUUGGGAAGCUGUUCCAAAGAGGGUGACAGGCCCGUAUGCGAAAUCUUGUACUCUCUAAUCAGGAUCCUGAGUACGGCCCAGCACGUGAAAUUGGGUCGGAAUCUGGGAGGACCAUCUCCCAAGGCUAAAUACUAACUAGUGACCGAUAGCGAACAAGUACCGUGAGGGAAAGGUGAAAAGAACCCCGGAAGGGGAGUGAAAUAGUUCUUGAAACCGUGUGCUUACAAGAAGUUCGAGGCCGUUAAUGGCUGAGAGCGUGCUUUUUGUAGAAUGAACCGGAGAGUUACGAUUGCGUGCAAGGUUAAGGUGCAAAGACUGGAGCCGUAGCGAAAGCGAGUCUUAAUAGGGCGAAUCAGUACGUAGU